rnacentral:rRNA from 1 species
CAGUAGCCGCGGUAAUACGUAGGGUGCGAGCGUUAAUCGGAAUUACUGGGCGUAAAGCGUGCGCAGGCGGUUGUGUAAGACAGGUGUGAAAUCCCCGGGCUUAACCUGGGAACUGCGCUUGUGACUGCACAGCUAGAGUAUGGCAGAGGGGGGUGGAAUUCCUCGUGUAGCAGUGAAAUGCGUAGAGAUGUGGAGGAACACCGAUGGCGAAGGCAGCCCCCUGGGCCAAUACUGACGCUCAUGCACGAAAGCGUGGGGAGCAAACAGGAUUAGAUACCCCAGUAGUCCCUGUCUCUUAUAA